rnacentral:rRNA from 1 species
ACUCAAAGGAAUUGACGGGGGCCCGCACAAGCGGUGGAGUAUGUGGUUUAAUUCGACGAUCCGCGCAGAACCUUACCACCCCUUGACAUGGGUAUCGCCGCCUGGUGAAAGCCGGGCUUCAUUUAGUUGGAUACCACACAGGUGCUGCAUGGCUGUCGUCAGCUCGUGUCGUGAGAUGUUGGGUUAAGUCCCGCAACGAGCGCAACCCUCACCUUUAGUUGCUACCAUUCAGUUGAGCACUCUAGAGGAACUGCCGGUGCAAGCCGGAGGAAGGUGGGGAUGACGUCAAGUCCUCAUGGCCCUUACGGGGUGGGCUACACACGUACUACAAUGGCGAUGACAGAGGGAAGCGAGCUUGCAAAAGUCAGCUGAUCCCUAAAAGUCGCCUCAGUUCGGAUUGUUCUCUGCAACUCGAGAACAUGAAGUUGGAAUCGCUAGUAAUCGCGAAUCAGCAGGUCGCGGUGAAUACGUUCCCGGGCCUUGUACACACCGCCCGU